rnacentral:lncRNA from 1 species
GAUUGGUCAGUUUGGUGUUGGUUUCUACUCUGCCUAUCUUGUUGCCGAGAAGGUCAUCGUCACCACCAAGCACAAUGAUGACGAGCAGUACAUCUGGGAGUCUCAGGCUGGAGGAUCUUUCACAGUGACCAGGGACUCUGGUGAGCCUCUUGGCAGGGGUACCAAGAUCUGCCUUCACCUGAAGGAGGACCAACUUGAGUACCUUGAAGAGCGCAGGCUCAAGGAUUUGAUCAAGAAGCACUCCGAGUUCAUCAGCUACCCUAUUUCAUUGUGGAUUGAGAAGACCACUGAGAAGGAGAUCUCUGAUGAUGAGGAUGAAGAAGAAAAGAAGGAAGAGGAAGGAAAGGUGGAGGAAGUUGAUGAAGAGAAGGAAAAGGAGGAGAAGAAAAAGAAGAAAAUUCAGGAGAUUUCUCACGAAUGGUCUUUGGUGAACAAGCAAAAGCCUAUCUGGAUGAGGAAGCCAGAAGAGAUCAACAAGGAAGAGUACUCAGCAUUCUACAAGAGUCUUACCAAUGACUGGGAAGAGCACCUUUCUGUCAAGCACUUCUCAGUUGAGGGUCAGCUGGAAUUCAAGGCCAUCCUCUUUGUUCCCAAGAGG